GACGAACGCUGGCGGCGUGCUUAACACAUGCAAGUCGAACGGAAAGGCCCUGCUUUUGUGGGGUGCUCGAGUGGCGAACGGGUGAGUAACACGUGAGUAACCUGCCCUUGACUUUGGGAUAACUUCAGGAAACUGGGGCUAAUACCGGAUAGGAGCUCCUGCUGCAUGGUGGGGGUUGGAAAGUUUCGGCGGUUGGGGAUGGACUCGCGGCUUAUCAGCUUGUUGGUGGGGUAGUGGCUUACCAAGGCUUUGACGGGUAGCCGGCCUGAGAGGGUGACCGGCCACAUUGGGACUGAGAUACGGCCAAGACUCCUACGGGAGGCAGCAGUGGGGAAUAUUGCACAAUGGGAGGAAGCCUGAUGCAGCAACGCCGCGUGCGGGAUGACGGCCUUCGGGUUGUAAACCGCUUUCGCCUGUGACGAAGCGUGAGUGACGGUAAUGGGUAAAGAAGCACCGGCUAACUACGUG
rnacentral:rRNA from 1 species